GACAGACCUGAAAUUGAGCUCUGUGAUUUUGGAUACCUGCCCCUCUGCUGGAGAUUCUGCAUGUCUGAGGUACCAGCCAUUGCCAGAAACUGGGCUAUGUUCUCUCCUUUCAUUGUGCCAUUUCAUUCUCACCCCAAAAUGAAAACACACAAAAAAAUCACUUUCUUCCCAAAGAGAAUCCUGUCAUUCACCAUAUGGGUUGCUACAAUGAUCCCCAUUUUACAGAUAGAUGAACUGAGGCCCUCGGCAGUGAAGUAACUUGCUAAGAUCAUACCACAGCUGGUAAGCAGUGGAAGCCAAUUCAAACCCUGGUCAGUCAUUUUGGCAAUACCGAGCUGCUUGGGGCUCUCGAGCUCACGGACCCUUAGGGUUCUCCUGAUACACCUCCUGCUGCAAACACUCCCCACAAAGGAUCAGUGUGAGUUUUUAGCUCUUUCCUGAGUCCCCUGGGCCCAGCAGAAAAACACUGAGAGAUUUACUGAGAAUCUAGGGAGGUAAAAUGGGACAGGCACAAAGACACCAGGAAGCUGGAUGAAGCCUGGUAGGCUCAGAAGCCAGGCCUUUGGCCCUCCCUGGCUUGCUCACUCGGGCACAAACCAGCUCACUCUGGACUCACAGGGCCUGACCUGGGUCUCCUGCCUGAGGAUCUGGUCCACAGGAUCCACUUCAGAGAAACUCCACCCCUACUCCCAUCCAUUUCCAGCCCCCUUCUCCUUGUCUUCCUUCCUUCUGGAGAGGCAUCGCUGGCAUCUCUGAAGCUGAAAUAACAACUCCUAUGUUGGCUUUUUUUUUUUUUUUUUUUAAAGAUGGAGUCUCACUCUGUCACCCAGGCUGGAGUACAGUGGCGUGAUUUUGGCUCACUGCAACCUCUGCCUCCUGGGUUCAAGCGAUUCUCCUGCCUUAGCCUCCCGAAUAGCUAGGAUUACAGGCACAUGCCGCCAUGCCUGGCCGCCUGUCUGAUUUUAUUAUUAUUAUUAUAUUUUUGCAUUUUUA
rnacentral:lncRNA from 10 species